AAUAGAUACCCCGGUAGUCCACGCCGUAAACGAUGAGUGCUAAGUGUUAGAGGGUUUCCGCCCUUUAGUGCUGCAGCAAACGCAUUAAGCACUCCGCCUGGGGAGUACGGUCGCAAGACUGAAACUCAAAGGAAUUGACGGGGGCCCGCACAAGCGGUGGAGCAUGUGGUUUAAUUCGAAGCAACGCGAAGAACCUUACCAGGUCUUGACAUCCUUCGCUACUUCUAGAGAUAGAAGGUUCCCCUUCGGGGGACGGAGUGACAGGUGGUGCAUGGUUGUCGUCAGCUCGUGUCGUGAGAUGUUGGGUUAAGUCCCGCAACGAGCGCAACCCUUGACCUUAGUUGCCAGCAUUCAGUUGGGCACUCUAAGGUGACUGCCGGUGACAAACCGGAGGAAGGUGGGGAUGACGUCAAAUCAUCAUGCCCCUUAUGACCUGGGCUACACACGUGCUACAAUGGAUGGUACAAAGGGCUGCAAGACUGCGAAGUCAAGCCAAUCCCAUAAAACCAUUCUCAGUUCGGAUUGCAGG
rnacentral:rRNA from 1 species